ensembl:snRNA U4 U4 spliceosomal RNA
AGCUUUGUGCAGUGGCAGUAUCAUAGCCAAUGAGGUUUAUCCAAGGCGCGAUUAUUGCUAAUUGAAAGUACAUAAUCUGACUAUUAAGUGGAUUAUCUGCUGAGUACAAUCUGCAUAUUAUUUAAAUGUCCAUUUAAAGAUGUGCAUAUACUCUUUUAAUUAAUUUUAGCAUU